AUGGCUCUUGCUAAAUACUGAAUAAGAGGUCCAACCUGCCCAGUGACAUAAGUUUAACGGCCGCGGUAUUUUAACCGUGCUAAGGUAGCGUAAUCACUUGUCUUUUAAAUGAAGACCCGUAUGAAAGGCGUCACGAGGGCCCUACUGUCUCCUCUUUCAAGUCUAUGAAAUUGAUCUGCCCGUGCAGAAGCGGGCAUAAAUCCAUAAGACGAGAAGACCCUGUGGAGCUUAAGACAUAAAACCAACUGCGCAUAGUAACCUAAACACCUAAUGAAUAAAAAUCAAUAAAGCAUAGCAGCCAUGGUUUAAAUAUCUUCGGUUGGGGCGACCAUGGGGGAUAAAAAAGCCUCCAAGAAGAAUCAGGGGAUCAGUUAAAUGGAUCCCUAAGAACCAAGAACUACAAUUCUAAGCAACAGAAAAUUCUGACUAAUAAUGACCCGGAUUAAAACCCGAUCAACGAACCAAGUUACCCCAGGGAUAACAGCGCAAUCCUUUCCAAGAGCCCAUAUCGCCGAAAGGGUUUACGACCUCGAUGUUGGAUCAGGACAUCCUAGUGGCGAAAAUUCUACCAAGGGUUCGUUUGUUCAACGAUUAAAGUCCUACGUGA
rnacentral:rRNA from 1 species